rnacentral:lncRNA from 1 species
AAAAAUGAUGACACAGAGAGAGCCUGGAUUUAUGUUCUCAAACUGUCUAAGUCCGAUGUAAUGGAAAAGAGACACAGAAACUCCUUCAUGUCCAAAGGCUGAGUAUCUCCUUGGUGAGCAAGCCAGAUGGCAGCGACAAUAAAUUAUAUUGAAAAACUGAGCUGCAAACCAAAUGAGAUGCACAUCCAGACUGCUGGAAAUUCCCAAAACCACCAGAGGGAAGGUAUGGCCAAGUCAGGAAGAAGAACUACAAGAUUCAGUCUAAGUAAAAAGGAAACAAACUGUGAGUUAUACCAGCAAUAGAAUCCAGCUUUGGAUCUCAUCAGAAUGCCCAACAAAGGAAUUGGACAAACCACACCUCGACAAAUAACCAGUACACACCAAAAGCCUACCAUAGAGCUAAAGGUUGCCUGUACCAAAGAGCCAAGGGAAAAACUGUUCUGAAAGUCUGAGCAUGGUGACACAUGUCUGUAAUCCCAGCACUUGGCAAGGCUGAGUCAAGGGAAUUGCUUGAAGCCAAGAGUUCAAGACCAGCCUGGGCAACAUAGCAAGACCUCAUCUCUACAAAAAGGGAAAAUGAGGCCUGGAACCUUGGAAAAACUCUAAGUCAUAAAAGCCAUUGACACCAAGGCCCUUGUAUAGGGUGGAGACAUCUCAAAUGAGAAUCUUAUAACCUGCUUCAGAGGAGAAAGGUGAGGGGAAGGAGAGAGUGAUCUUCCUGCUUCUAGUGUUUUCUCAAAUGCCACGAUGCCAUAUUUUGUGGUAGCACGUCCUGAACUCCAUCAAUACAUGUCCAUGUAUGCUUCUGCACAAGAAUGCUUGAGUUUUCCCAAUGACAUCAUAGCUGUCUUUCCCUAGAGCAAGCAAUCAAGAAGAUGAAAUGCCCCUUACGGCCUAGCCUCAGAAGUUGCACAGUGUCACCUCUGAAUAUUUUAUGGGUCACAACAAGGCCAUAAAUGCCAGAAUUUGAGAAUCUUUGGGCGCAUCUUGGGAGCUGGCUAUCACACAAUAAAAUGGUCUAAGUAUAACAGAUGCAGGAUCUAGCACUUGAACAUAGUACUAGGGAUUCUUGCUAUCAUUGGCCUGUGAUUAUGUCAGAAGGGUUUUCAGGGAGGGGUGUUGGAACCCUAGGUGCUGGGUGGCAUUGGAGGGUCAGACUGAGACCUAGGCUAUUUACUGACUGAAACUGUCAGCUGAAUAUUAAUUACACACAACGUGCGCACACACAAACACCCCUACACAGUAUUUUGGCACCUAGAAUCAUUCAAUAAAAAAAGAAUAACACUGAUGGUAGUUUCUUUUGCUGUGCAGAAGCUCUUUAGUUUAAUUAGAUCCCAUUUGUCAAUUUU